CGAAACCCUGACGGAGCAAUACCGCGUGAAGGAUGAAGGCCUAUGGGUCGUAAACUUCUUUUCUCAGAGAAGAAUUUUGACGGUAUCUGAGGAAUAAGCAUCGGCUAACUCUGUGCCAGCAGCCGCGGUAAUACAGAGGAUGCAAGCGUUAUCCGGAAUGAUUGGGCGUAAAGCGUCUGUAGGUGGUUUGACAAGUCUUCUGUCAAAGAUCAGGGCUUAACCCUGGGCAGGCAGGAGAAACUAUCAGGCUUGAGUUCGGUAGGGGCAGAGGGAAUUCCCGGUGGAGCGGUGAAAUGCGUAGAUAUCGGGAGGAACACCAA
rnacentral:rRNA from 1 species